rnacentral:rRNA from 1 species
UACGUGCCAGCAGCCGCGGUAAUACGUAGGUGGCAAGCGUUGUCCGGAAUUAUUGGGCGUAAAGGGCUCGCAGGCGGUUUCUUAAGUCUGAUGUGAAAGCCCCCGGCUCAACCGCGGAGGGUCAUUGGAAACUGGGGAACUUGAGUGCAGAAGAGGAGAGUGGAAUUCCACGUGUAGCGGUGAAAUGCGUAGAGAUGUGGAGGAACACCAGUGGCGAAGGCGACUCUCUGGUCUGUAACUGACGCUGAGGAGCGAAAGCGUGGGGAGCRAACAGGAUUAGAUACCCUGGUAGUCCACGCCGUAAACGAUGAGUGCUAAGUGUUAGGGGGUUUCCGCCCCUUAGUGCUGCAGCUAACGCAUUAAGCACUCCGCCUGGGGAGUACGGUCGCAAGACUGAAACUCAAAGGAAUUGACGGGGGCCCGCACAAGCGGUGGAGCAUGUGGUUUAAUUCGAAGCAACGCGAAGAACCUUACCAGGUCUUGACAUCCUCUGACAAUCCUAGAGAUAGGACGUCCCCUUCGGGGGCAGAGUGACAGGUGGUGCAUGGUUGUCGUCAGCUCGUGUCGUGAGAUGUUGGGUUAAGUCCCGCAACGAGCGCAACCCUUGAUCUUAGUUGCCAUCAUUCAGUUGGGCACUCUAAGGUGACUGCCGGUGACAAACCGGAGGAAGGUGGGGAUGACGUCAAAUCAUCAUGCCCCUUAUGACCUGGGCUACACACGUGCUACAAUGGACAGAACAAAGGGCAGCGAAACCGCGAGGUKAAGCCAAUCCCACAAAUCUGUUCUCAGUUCGGAUCGCAGUCUGCAACUCGCCUGCGUGAAGC